rnacentral:rRNA from 1 species
GACGAACGCUGGCGGCGUGCCUAACACAUGCAAGUCGAGCGAAGUGAGUACUACGGUACGAACUUAGCGGCGGACGGGUGAGUAACGCGUGGACAAUCUACCCUGUAGACUGGGAUAACACCUCGAAAGGGGUGCUAAUACCGGAUAAUGUCGAGAAGCGGCAUCGCUUUUCGAAGAAAGGAGAGAAUCCGCUAUAGGAGGAGUCCGCGUCCCAUUAGCUAGUUGGUGAGGGUAACGGCCCACCAAGGCGACGAUGGGUAGCCGGCCUGAGAGGGUGAACGGCCACACUGGAACUGAGACACGGUCCAGACUCCUACGGGAGGCAGCAGUGGGGAAUAUUGUGCAAUGGGGGAAACCCUGACACAGCAACGCCGCGUGAGCGAAGAAGGCCUUCGGGUUGUAAAGCUCAAUUGUAUGGGAAGAUAAUGACGGUACCAUACGAAAGCCCCGGCUAACUACGUGCCAGCCGCCGCGGUAA